rnacentral:rRNA from 1 species
UGCAAGUAUCCGCACCCCUGUGAAAACGCCCUUAACUUCCUACUGGAAUAAGGAGCUGGUAUCAGGCACAACAUUACGCCCAAGACACCUAGCUAUGCCACACCCACAAGGGAAUUCAGCAGUGAUUAACAUUAAACAUGAGCGCUAGCUCGAUUUAGUUAAAGUACAGAGAGCCGGCAAAUCUGGUGCCAGCCGCCGCGGUUACACCAAGUGGCUCAAACCGACCUUAAUCGGCGUAAAGCGUGAUUAAAGUUAAAAUUUUAUAGAAUUAAACUAAAACCAAGCUGUAGCACGCUAGUUUCUAGGAAAAUCAUAAACGAAAGUUAUUCUAAUUAAAACAACUUGAAUUCACGACAACUGGGAUACAAACUGGGAUUAGAUACCCCACUAUGCCUAGUCGUAAACUUUCAUUUACACUCAUAUCGCCAGGGAACUACGAGCAAAGCUUAAAACCCAAAGGACUUGACGGUACCCCAUAUCCACCUAGAGGAGCCUGUCCUAUAAUCGAUACCCCCCGUUUAACCUCACCAUUUUUAGCCGUUCAGCCUGUAUACCUCCGUCGUCAGCUUACCACGUGAGCGUAAUUUAGUAAGCUUAAUGUUUUUCAACAAUACGUCAGGUCAAGGUGCAGUAAAUAAAAUGGGAAGAGAUGGGCUACACUUUCUAAUUUAGAAGAUACGAAAGACUACUUAUGAAAUCUAGUCAGAAGGCGGAUUUAGAAGUAAAAAAAACAAGAGAGUUCUUUUUAACAUGGCACUGGGGUGUGU